UCAAUUUAAAUAUAAGUAACCACUAAUAUUUAUUUAAACUCACUUUAUUUUAAAAGAAUAAAGUUUUUUUAUUGGUGAAAUUAAAAAAAAUGUUUCAAAAGUAAACAAAUCCAAACAAAAGAGUUUAAACUCAUACCAAAUAAAACACAAAUCAAAAAGACUUCAAAUUAGGUAUUAGAGCCAAGAUUUGGCUCUCCUUCAAUGCCUUCAGAAUUCUCC
rnacentral:lncRNA from 1 species